rnacentral:rRNA from 1 species
UACAGAGGGGGCAAGCGUUGUUCGGAAUUACUGGGCGUAAAGGGCGCGUAGGUGGCCUUCUAAGCUGAACGUGAAAUCCCUGGGCUCAACCCAGGAACUGCGUCCAAGACUGGGAGGCUUGAAUCCGGGAGAGGGAUGCGGAAUUCCAGGUGUAGCGGUGAAAUGCGUAGAUAUCUGGAGGAACACCGGUGGCGAAGGCGGCAUCCUGGACCGGUAUUGACACUGAGGCGCGAAAGCCAGGGGAGCAAACGGG